rnacentral:rRNA from 1 species
AUUGAACGCUGGCGGCAGGCUUAACACAUGCAAGUCGAGCGGGGGAGGUUGCUUCGGUAACUGACCUAGCGGCGGACGGGUGAGUAAUGCUUAGGAAUCUGCCUAUUAGUGGGGGACAACAUUCCGAAAGGAAUGCUAAUACCGCAUACGCCCUACGGGGGAAAGCAGGGGAUCUUCGGACCUUGCGCUAAUAGAUGAGCCUAAGUCGGAUUAGCUAGUUGGUGGGGUAAAGGCCUACCAAGGCGACGAUCUGUAGCGGGUCUGAGGGGAUGGUCCGCCACACUGGGACUGGGACACGGCCCAGACUCCUACGGGAGGCAGCAGUGGGGAAUAUUGGACAAUGGGCGGAAGCCUGAUCCAGCCAUGCCGCGUGUGUGAAGAAGGCCUUUUGGUUGUAAAGCACUUUAAGCGAGGAGGAGGCUCUUAAGGUUAAUACCCUUGAUGAGUGGACGUUACUCGCAGAAUAAGCACCGGCUAACUCUGUGCCAGCAGCCGCCGUAAUAC